GGUGGCCUAGCUGUCCGUACCCCUCAAAUGCAACCUUCCAGUCCCAAACCCAGGCGUUCUAAGCGCUCAGGACGACGAUUUGCGCUCACGCCAGGACCCUAGUCCUCAUUGGACCCUUCCUCAUUCUGUCCUCAUUGAGGCCAUCUGAGAAUAGGGGCCAUCUGAGAAUGCAGGGGAGUGGACAUCGUGUGCAGACAGGGAGGCUGAUUGUGAGUGCCGCGGGGCUGAGCCCUGCGCCGACCUGGUCUGCUGGUGCUCCCAGGCUUGAACAGUCUUCAAAUCCACUGCUAUUAGGCAAAUUACCUGGCUCCCGCUGAACCCCGGCACCUAGAACUAUGUCACACUCGUAGUAGGCCGCCGCAUUGGUUGAACAAAUGAUUUUGAAAGAAUGAAUGGCUUCCUCUGUGCCUGCAUUUCCUCAGAAGGUUGUA
rnacentral:antisense_RNA from 1 species